rnacentral:misc_RNA from 1 species
UACGGAGGAUCCAAGCGUUAUCCGGAUUUAUUGGGUUUAAAGGGUGCGUAGGCGGGAUAGUAAGUCAGUGGUGAAAUCCUACGGCUUAACCGUAGAACUGCCAUUGAUACUGCUGUUCUUGAGUGCAGAUGAGGUGGGCGGAAUGUGUCAUGUAGCGGUGAAAUGCAUAGAUAUGACACAGAACGCCGACAGUGAAGGCAGCUCACCAAACUGCAACUGACGCUGAGGCACGAAAGCGUGGGGAGCGAACAGG